AUUUGGUGUCUGGUUCUUUGGAUGAACAUGGAACCGUUGAGUAUGUCUCAUUGCUCCUGGAAUGUCCAUGUAGUGUUGUAUUAUGGAUAAUGAAUUCUAAGUGGUACAUCGAGUUGAACACAAAUGGAGCCAAAUUGGAAAAUAUAGCUAAUGUAUAAGUUUUCUGUGAAUCUCUUUGAAUUUAUUUGUGUAUAAUAGUCUUAUAAGAUUCUGUUUUUUAUCUGCUAUCAGAAUGAGGUGGUUAUGGCUAUUCAUGCUGAAAAUCUAAAGUUGUUUGAGUAUGAGAUAGUAAAGGAAUGGGUGAAAUGAAUCCUUCUAAGAAAUAGGACAACUCACAACUCAUGUUCAAAUUUUAUAAAUUCAAAUACUUUUAGAUGAUAAGUAAAAACUUUGCAGGAUAUAUACAAAGAUACUCAGAUUGAUAUAUUAAAUGUUGGUAACUUGGUACGAAAUGGAACUCGUGUAGUUGGCUUCAUUUUGUUUCCCCUAACAGUUCUAUCAUUUGUUAAGAGAAAAUUGACAUCAUAGUGUUAAUGCUUGGAAAAUCAAAUAGACUUCAAAUUUAUCUCUCUUCAUGGUGGAUUUUGAAUUAUUCAGUCCAAUUUUCUUGGUUUUUUUGUUAACUAGAACUUAUGUUUUCUGGUAUGUUUUGAUGAAGUGAAACUUUCUUGUACCUUACAGAAUUUUUUGAGGAUCUUAUCAGGAAGAAACAAUUUGUUGUGCUUACUGCUUGGCUGAGAAGAAUCAAAAAGUUUUUGUUCUAGAAAAACCUAAUGUAAAUAAAUGUGGUAAUGGUACUUCCUGCUAUUUAUUACAGAGUAACAACAUGGCUCACUACAUAUGUCGUUUAGUUGCUUUAAGAAUGCCUCUAAGUUUAUGUUCAGCAACUUUUUGGUUUUGGUUUUAGAAUGGUUAACUCACUCUAGACAGAUUUAAUGCACGGUUGCACAUCAUGUGAAGUGAAUAAUUUUGAGUGUUUGGUUAAAAUGAAAUGGAGGGAUAGGAUUUGGUGUCAAAUAAAAUUACAUGUCCAAUCCAAUAGUUAAAAUCCAAUAAUAAAAUUCAUUUACAUAAUAGUACUAACGCUACAAAAGUACACAUGACUACAUUACAUGUUUUUGAUUGUUGAAAGACAUGUUCAAACUUAUCAAACAAAAUCAAGAAAUUGACAGUCCAAAGCAACACAAAUAGAGCGACUCAUUCCCUUACACAACAAUGAAAUGUAAGACAUCUUUGAAUAUGGUUGCUCUUCUAUUGCAUUCACCAUUUUUAAUUUGAUCUUUCACUUCCACUUCCAGUCAUUGAACAUUCUAUUCAAAAUCAUUCAAAUUUCAAAUGAUUGUUUAAUAAAUUGGAUUUUGUGGAAUUUUCUAGUGAAAUUUUAGCAUAAAAAUGUCUUUCAUGAAAACAUGAGAUUUCUUGAGAUUGUUUUUACUCUCUCUCUCUCUUCAUUUUAUCGAGUUCUUAAAAUUCAUAAAAUCUUUUGAAAUAUUAUAAAUCCAUAAAAUCAUCUUAUGAUUUAAGUCCUGAUAGUCUUUUGAAAUCAUAAAAGUCAUUAAAAUCCUACAAAAUCUUUUAAAAUCCUCGAGACUUUUUUAAGCAAAAAUUAUCCUUCAAAAUCCUAAUUCAAUACACCCUAAGAACAAAAACUAAAACCAGCUUGUUGAAAAAGCAAUACACUUGAAAGUUCACCUCAAUAAUUUAUGUUACACAAGUAUAAUCAAACCAAAAUCACAGUUAUUUCCAUUCAUAGUCAACCAACUUUUCUUCUUGGUUACUGAUUAUUUCCAUUUGCUCGUACAAUUGAUACACAUUUGUAUCGCACAUCUUUUAAUUUUUUUCUUCCCUGGAUCACCAAAUAUGCAAAAGAGUUUUGUUUUUAACAAAAAGUUAAAUAUAUGGAAAAUCACAUACUCCUAGAACUCCUAGCUUUGAUUCUCUGUCGUUUCAUUUGUUACAUCACCAUGGUUCCCCUCCACUUAAAAGUAAUUGAGGGACCACUUUUUUACAUUUUUUUUUUUUAAACAGAUGCAAACUUUUUUACAUUCAAUGUUUAUUAUAAUUGGCAGUAACAAUGGGGAGAGAAUAACGUUAUUGCCUUUGUAUAUACUUUCAAUAACAAGGUGACGUUAAAAUGUAAUUUUGGUUAGAUGAUGUUGUGGUGCACCAAUGAUAAAUAUAAAUAAUUUCUUAAGUAUUUAUUUUCUCAUAGAUAUCUGCUUUGUAAAACUUAUGCACAUAAUAAUCAAUAUAAACAAUGCUUUACACUAUAACAAUAAUUGAGGUGCAAACCACACUUUUUCAAUAUGUCUACAUUAUUAUCAACAAAAAAAGUCUAUAUCAUUAUUAGUCACUAAUUUAAUCAAUUUUUUUUUUUUUAAUCACAUCUUUCCCAAAAACCAAAUCAAAUGUUACCUAUAGCAUUAUUUUCAUUGCAUGCAAGUGAAAGAAAAAAAGCUUUACAGCCCUUGUGAAUUUAUAAACAGGGACCCUUUUCAUUAGUUUACAUCACUCCACCUUCAGUGGUGGGAUAGGCCAUCCUUUUACAUUUUUCUAAUUUUUACUUUCAUCCAAGGGUAACAGGGACAAGUCGAAGUUGUAUCCUUUUAAGUUGAGAAAGGGGGCUAUAUAAGGUAUAUAUACUCUCCUUUUACAUUAUUUUUUCCAUUUUUCCUUUCAUCCAAGCGUUACAUGAAAACUAAGAGCCUUUGUAUUAUGAGAGAACAAAUGAAUGAAUAAUUCUCAUUGAUUGUGAAUGAAGUAAAGGUACAACUUAUAUAGGAGAGCUAAAAUACUAUAGUAACUAACAUAUACUAACUGUAUUCUAACAUAAACCCUAAUACAGUUAUGUAAGAAGUAACUAAAGGGAUAACUUGCAUAACAAGUUAUCACUAUGAAUAAGCUCUUUCAUCACUAGUGUCUUCACUAUGUAAUAGCCUCCCACAAGUUGGAAGUUGAUAAAUAUCUACCAAUCCCAACUUGGAUAGCAAUGUAUGAAAAGGCUGAGGUAGCAAUGCCUUUGUGAGGAAAUCAGCAGUUUGAGCAUGAGAAGUAAUAGGAAGCAGUUUCAUCAUACCAACUUGCUGUUUCUCCGUAACCAAAUGGCAAUCAAUCUCUAAAUGUUUUUUUCUUUCAUGAAAGACUGAAUUAGCUGUAAUGUGAAGGGCACUCUGACUAUCACAAUAAAGAACUGGUGGUUUAACACAUGAUCACUGUAUAUCCUAAAUGAGGUAAAGAAGCCGCUGCAGUUCACAAGUAGCAACUACAAGUGCUCUAUAUUCAGUUUCUGAGGAAGAUCUAGAUACAGUUAAUUGCUUUUUAGUGCACCAAGAGGUGAGGGAAUUGCCUAAGAAAAAUCAUUGACCUGAGAUGGAUCUCCUAGAGUCCAGACACCCUGCCCAAUCAGCAUCUGAGAAACCUAGAAUUUGGAGUGUGGAGUCUCUAGGGAAGAAUAAACUUUUGCAUGUACAACUCUUAAGAUAUCUGAGUACUCUCAUAGCAGCAUUAUAGUGAAUGUGUGUAGGUUUGGAGAGAAACUGGCUCAAUUGUUGUGUAAUAAAGGUAAUAUUAGGUCUUGUAGUAUUGAAAUAAAGUAACUAACCAAUUAACCUUCUAUAAGAAGAAAUGUCUUCAUAAGGUGGACUUGAAUCACUAUGCAGUUUUAUUGAAGGAUCAGAAGCUGUGGAGACAUGAUCAGAUGUGGUGAGACUUGAAUCAGCAAGUAAAUCCAAGCAGUACUUUCUUUGGCAUAGGGAAAUCCCUUGUUCAGAAUGAGCAACUUCUAAACCAAGGAAGUAUUUUAAUUGGCAAUGAUCUUUGAUUUUGAAAGAGUUGUGGAGAAUGGUUUUGAUGUUUUCAAAUUCAGAAAGUGAAUUGCUUGCUAAGAUGAUAUCAUCUACAUAUACAAGGAGAACUGUAAAUUAAGAGGAUGAUGAUUUAGUGAAUAGGGAAUGAUUAGAAUUUGUCUGCUUGAAACCUUGAGCCACAAGUAAUGAAGUAAGCUUUUCAUACCACUUUCUGCUAGCUUGCUUCAAUCCAUAGAGAGAUUUUAUUAGUUUACAAACUUGAUUUGGUUUGGAGGUUUUAACACCUGGAGGAAGUUGCAUAUACACAUUCUCUUGCAAUUCACCAUGAAGGAAAGCAUUAUUGACAUCAAGUUGGUGAAUGAACCAAUGAUUAAUGGAGGCCAAAGCAAUAAUGAGUCUGACAGUUGUAAGUUUAGCUACAGGUGAAUAUGUGUCAAAAUAAUCCAAACCCUCAAUCUGAUUAUAUCCCUUAGAAACUAAACGUGCUUUGAAUCUUUCAAUGGAUCCAUCUGCAUGAUGUUUAAUCUUGUAAACCCAUCUGUAGCCUAUUGGUUUGAUGUUUGGAGGUAAGUCAACAAGUUUCCAAGUACUAGUUUGUUCAAGAGUUGUAAGCUCAGUCUCCAUAGCUUUAUUCCAACAAUCAAACUUGCUAGCCUCAACAUAUGAUUUGGGCUCAAUAUGAGUAGUGAUAGACAAAGCAAAAUGAAGAUGAGCAUUAGACAGUUUAUUAUAUGACAGAAAAUUGGAAAUAGGAUAAGUAUUGAUAGUAUUAGAAGAUGAUGAGUGGCAAACAUAGUCUUUGAGAUGUGGUGGUGGAUGCUUAGUUCUUGAGGAUUUUCUGGUAGAAGACUCAACAAUAGUGUCAAUGAAGGAAGGAGAAAUAGGAGAGGUUUUAGGUGAAACAGAUGAUGAAGGAGAUAACUGAGAUGAAGAAAAUGGAAAAUAUUCCAAAUUCUUCACAAAAGAAGAAGGACAAGGAAGUAUAUGAUCAUGGAAAACAACAUUUUUAGAAAUGAAUAUUUGUCAAGAAUGUAAAUAAAAAAGCACAGACUCUUUAAAACCUGACUUGUACCCCAAGAAACAACAUUUUCUAGCUCUAGGGUCAAGUUUAGAUCUUUGGGAAGUGAUUGUGGAAGCAUAACACAGAGAUCCAAACACUUAGCUUUAAAAAGUUUGAUAUCAGGUAAAGAGUCUUAUAAAAUUUGAUAAGGAGUUUGAUAGUCAAGUAAAGGAGUAGAAACUCUAUUAAUCAAGAAAAAUGUAUGAUUGAGAGCAUAACACCAAAAUUGUUUGGGGAGUUUGGAUUGAAAAAGAAGGGCUCUGGCUACAUUAAGAAUAUGUCGGUGCUUCCUUUCAACUCUAGCAUUUUACUUAGGUGUUUCAACACAAGAUCUAUGAUGAAUGAUGCCUUUGGGCUUUUGGCGUUAUUUGGGCCUUCCCAGGGGCGUUGUUUCCGGCCUUGUUUGUUGGGCUGGGGGGUGCUCAGAGGUCUUUUGCGAGUAUCUUUUGAAGGUUUCGUUGGUGUAUCUUGUACAAUUUUCUCUUCUUCUUUAUAUAUAUAUAUAUAUAUAUAUAUAUAUAUAUAUAUAUAUAUAUAUAUAUAAGCCAUUUAAAAAAAACAACAAUACGCCAAAUAUUUUCACUUGAAUAAUUCAAUUGAAAUGUUACAUGAGUUGAUUUAUGCUUAUUUCUCUGGGUAGCUAAAUGAUGCAAGUAAGAAAACAAGCUCGGUGCGGUACUAGGGGCGGAUCCACCAUAAGGCAUGGUGUGGCACUUGCCACACCAGAUUAUUCCCCAUAUUUUUUUCUUCAUAUAAUAAACCUAAACAAUUCCUUAUAUAUAAUAUAUAUUGCUAAUUUGACAUGAAUGUUCACAUGUCAUAGCGGAUUGAGUUUGUACACGGUUCAACACCCAUCAGCAUCACUUUUCAAUGUUUUUUUUAUUUUUAAAUAUUAACAUAAAUAAAAUAGUUAAUCACAAAAUGUGGGUUAUGCUUAAACCAAUUUGCAGUAUUUUGCUUCAUAGUUUUUUUUUGCUACAUUGACAUCAAAUGUGCAGUACACAUAUCAAGUGUCAUUUUUUUUAAUUGAAUACAAAUUUUCACUACUAGUGCUUAACUAGCAGGUAUAUGAAAGGAAAUACAUUUAAAGAGUUGCAUGCGAAAUAACAAAACAUUCCUGAACUCAACCCAAUUCUUAAUAUGGGACUAACAUCAUCUAAUCUAAUCUAAUUUACUCAAAAUUCAAAAGGUACAUGCCCACUAGGAGGAAAGGUAGAUUUGAUUCCUUGUAGAUAAACUUAAACUAUUAAUUCUACAUUUAAUGAUAAUAAUUAAUAAGCAGGGGUUUAUGUACAGAAUCCUCGUGAAUUUAAUUCAAUUGGUAGAAAAAAUGCAUAAUAUAUAUAAGAUUUGGGGUUCAAACAUUGGACACAAAAAAACACAUAGAAACCUAAAAAUUGAAAUUUUAUUUAAUUUGUUAUUGCUUUAAUCAGAUAAUCUCAAUAUAAUAUUUCAAAUCACCAAUUAAACACUUUACAAAGUGUUACAUAAAAGCUUCAUUUUAGUUUAAACUUGACAAAAUUAUGACCAAAAAAGAUCUUAUUUUUUUAAUAGGAAAAAUGCGUUGCUUUUUUCUUUACAGAAAAUUUAGAAAAUGUAUUUAUAAAAUAUGAAAUUUAGGAAAUAUGACCAAGUAACACAUGUAGUAUCAUAAACACAAUAAAAAUUGGUGGUGUGUGUCAGCAGUUUAAAAGCGAUCACCUCUUAAAAAGAACAUGUUUUUGAUUUUAUAUUUUUUUUUGUUCUUUUAACUUUAUGCCCUAUACAAGCAUAUCAUUUAUUAAUUUAUGCAUGAUUCAAUUUAAAGAUAAAAUAGGUAAAUUAAAUUAAAUUAAGGUGUGUGUUCACAUGGGAAAGGUUAAUCCUUUCCCACCAUGGGAAAGUUGGAUUCAAUGAUUAGAUUAAGUGUAAAACAUAUUCUUAACAUGCUCUCUCAACACUAGAUUUUUCUUCACACUAUCUUUCAACAAUUUAAAAAUUCUGAAAAUUCAUUUUCAGAAAUUAAAAAAUAUAUAAAAAUUCAGAUUUUUUUUUUUUUAAAAUUCUGUAAUUCAUUUAUUGAAUGUUAGAUUUUUUUUUUUGAAAAAAAAAAUAUUUCAAUAAAAAUAAAAUUUUGGAAACUAAGAUAAGUUUUUAUUUUUCUAAAAAGAAUAUAUUUUUUCAUUUCAUAAUUAAAUAAGAUAUUCUGAAAAAUAAAAUAAAAAUCCUAAAAAAAAUAUUUUGAAAUUAAUUUUUUUUUAUUUUUCUAAGAAAAUAAAAUUCUGAACAAUUUUUUUUUUAUUUUCAUUUUUCCAAAAAAAAAAAUUCUAACAUUCAAUAAAUGAAUAACUGAAUUUAAAAAAAAAAUUAUCUGAAUUACUUUUAUAUUUUUUCGAUUUUUUUAAUUUCUGAAAAUUAAUUUUCAGAAUUUUUAAAUUGUUGGAAUAUAGUGUGAAGAAAAAUCUAGUGUUGAGAGAGCAUGUUAAAAAUAUGUUCUUCACUUAAUCUAAUCAUUUAAUCCAACUUUCCCAUGGUGGAAAAGGAUUAACCUUUCCCAUAUGAAAUGCCGCCUUAAAUUAAAUAUUAAACAAUUAGAAACAAAAUGGUCACAUGCUUUUACUUUUUUUCAUGCACAAACGGAAUGUACCUUGCCUUGUAAUUGUAUCUACUCUUGUUCAAAAUGAAAAAGAAAAAGAAUUAAAGGUGUACCAUACUUGUUCAAAAUGAAAAAGAAAAAUAAUUAAAGGUGUACCAUAUGCCUUGCCUUCUAAAAAAGAAAAAGAAUCUUUCUUCUUCUCCUCACCUUCCAUUAUACGCAAUCCUAAAUGAUGAAGUCAUUUUUGACUAUUAUUAUGGGAUGGGAUCAUAGGACCAAUAUGACCAUUAGGUAAUGGUAAAAAGUUCCGCGUUCUGUAAUAGAUGAUCUAUUUGAAAAUGUAUAAUUUUAACCUAACUUACUUUGACAAUAUUUUUCUAUUAAUGUACAAUUUUUUUUUUUUAGAAAUACUAAUGUACAAGGAUAAAUAAUAUCAUAUAAGAUGUUGUUAGAUUUGUCUCGAUGAGUAUUUUCAAAAUAUCAAAUUUUCAUAAUUUUUUCUAAUAUAUUAUUCAAGAUAUUUAAACUUAAAAUUAUGCAUUAGCAUGCGUAAUAAGGUCAACUAUGUCAAGUAUUAUGUUACGGAGAGAAUAACAAGUAGAAAUAGGUAAGAAAAAAAUGAGCCACCCACAUAUAAACUCAUCCAUUAUUAUUGUAAAAAUAAAAAGACACGCUCUCUCUCUCUCUUUCAUGAGAUCAUAGGACCAUUAGGUAACUACAAAAGCAACAAGUGUGACUUUCAACCCAUUCAUUUUCUUCUUGCCAAUUAAAAAGUGUUCAAACUAGUGGCAUGCUAUAUAUCUUCUAAUUGUGUCAAAGUUCAUAGUAUAGGUUGUCAAUUGAACACUUCUCUUACUAUUGUAUAACAUCGUAUAAUUAAUCAAAAUUAGGAAAAACUUUUGUGCAUGUGUUUUUUUUUUGUUACAAGAACUUGUGCAUGUGUAGUAACAAAGAAGAAAUGGAAUUACCUAAAAGUAUGGAUAAAUCAUUUUUACUCUAUAAUGGUGUAAUCGUAUAAGAACAUUAAACAUAUUUUUACACAUAUAAGUGGGAAUUUUUUAUAUUUUUUAUUUUGUUAUAAUUUUUUAUAGUAACUAAUUUUUAUUAUAAUAGUAUCUUUUCAAGUAGUCCUUUAAAGCAUAAUAAUACAUAUAAGAAUUGAGCAACCUGCAGUUCAAUUAUCCAUUUAUUGUUUAAAAAUACGGCAAUGUAUAUUAAGGAUACUCUAGUAAAACUAUUGUGAAUUGUGAUUAUAUAUAAUAAUAUAAUAAUAAUUAACUAAAUGAGUUAAAAUUGAAACGGAGAGAAAUAGAGACCUGAAUUUGCAAUGGAAUCCAAGUAGUAUGAUUUAUUAUUUAAACCAUUUCAAUAUUAUUUUGGGAUAGCUUGGCCUUGAACUGAACCUCCUCUUUAUUUUUUUGAAAAGAACCUCCUCUUUAAGGAUUAUGAACUGAACCAUUCCAAGUCUUCUUUUGGUUGGAAACAAUUCUGAACUCUAUCAGCACAAAUCCUAAACAUGCUUGUAACAUGGAUAGUUAUUUUAGGGACAAUAUUAAUCUUCCUAACUCUCAUCCUUCUGUUUUGGGUCAUUGUUACCUGUUCUUGGUCGAAAAUCGGGUUUUUGGACUACUUGAUCGGAUUGCUCCGAAACUUUCCCAGAAAAUCAGAAAAAAUUCAAGGACCAUGACUCCCGUAGAAGGGACUUCUUACGGGACUCCACCCCUCAAAUCCAAAAUUCCAUCGUUUAGACCUAUUUUUCAUUUUUAAUUUUUUUUCAUAUUCUCAGAAAAAUCCGAAAAAAUUUGCAUUAGUUUUAUUUGAUUUUUAGAAUUUUUUGGUGCUAUUUUUAUGAUUUUAUUUGAGAGGUAUUUAGCAUUUUUUUACUUAGUUAUUUUAUUGUUUUUAAAAGCAAAACUCAAAACUGUUGAAAUGUGAGAGUCUGAUGCGUGAUUAUACAUAAGAAUUGUCCGGAUUAUAAAAUCCGAAAUAAUAAACAUGAAUCUGGAUUUUAAAAUCCAGAAUGCACAAGGACAUUUUUGAAAAUUUUACAGGGCGCGGGAGAAGGCCAUAGGGUGGAAAGGUAAUAGUCUAAAAUUAAAUAUUUACUUAUAAAUAAUCCAUUUAUUUGCAUUCUAACUGAACUAAUGGUUGCGUUAAUGGAGCAAUGUAUUUGUUUAACUCGAUUUUAGUACUUCUUGACUCUUCAACGUUAUUUAUGUAUUUCUCUAAAAAAAAACAUUGUGUAUUGUUGCUUAUGUCUUUAUUCGAUAACUUUUUAGAGUGUGCUUGAAAGAGAGAACUUCAAUAAUAUUGGUUUGGUUGAUCCCAUUUGAUGCUUAAACAUUACUUGUGUAAUGUUGCACAUGUCUUUGUUAAAUUAACUCUUAGAAUGUGUUUGUUGGUAUGAUGAUCUUAGAGGAUAAUUAUUCUUUUUAUAAAUAAAUCACAUUCGAUGAUAAAUUUAGAGAUUUUUCAAACAUAAAAGGACUUUAUAUGUAUAUUAUGUCAAAAUUAAAUUUAUAUUAUUUUAAUCAAAUUAUUGAACUCAAGUGGUUAAUAAGCGUCAUCAAAUAAUAAAUUUUUGGAAAAACUCUCAUUUGAUUCUUAUGUUAAACAUGUAUUGAUCAUGUUAUACUUAACCUACAACUGAACUUCGGAUUACCAUAGUCUCUUGUUGUGAAAGAGGGUUAACAACAACAAAAAUUUAAAAGUAGACAAUUUCAAUUGCAACCUUAAAUGUAAGAAUUAGAAAUUAUCUCAUUACUAUAUGCACAUGAAUCUCAAAUUACUUUUUAAAUGAUUUAAAAAUUUACACAUCAAUCCUUUUAUUUUUAGUUUGAAUCCACAAAUAUAACAGGUCCUUUUUUUUUGAACAAGGGUCCUUUUUUAUUUGAGAAAUGAUAAAAUAAUAACCACGUGACAAAUACAUGUAUUUGUUUUCUACUAUAAUUCACUAUAAUUUUUUACUUUUGACAAAUACAUGUAAGUUAAGAACAAGGAAAUCUUUUUUACAUAUUACAUCAUUCUAUUUUAAGAAAUUGUCAUAAUCGUUUUUUGUUUUGUAUGCCCCACUACUAGAGUACUCAUGACUCAUCAGAGACUUAUGCCCUAUUUUAUUUUAUUUUAUUUUUCUUAAUUUACUAUAAUUUUGUUAUUCUCCAAAGUUUUGUUGAUUGGUAAUUCCCUAUCAAUCUUUGAAUUAUUUCUGCUAAUUUCAGCAAGCUUGGCAUCAAGAGAAUAUAUCAUGGCUUCUACUUGUAAAGAUUUUUUUUCGAAUGCCACCUAUGGAAUUUCAGCACCUCUUUGACUAUGUUUCUGAUUUUCAUUUUGUAGUAUCUGUAGCUGAAAUUUAGAUCAUAUAUAAGUAAAUAUUUAAUUUCAUAUAUAAGUCCAUUAAAAAAUAAGGUAAAAUUCUCAAAUAAUGUGUAGCACUCUCUCCGGCUAAAGGUUGCUUGGUGACCCUAGUAGUAACAUGAAAUAAUAACAUAUCAGUGUCAAUGAAGCUUAGAUACAAGAUACGAUACAUAUACAAUACUGCACCGAUAUGGAAAAAUUUCAAAAUCAAGAUACGAACGGCUGAGAUACGUUAAUAAAAAAAUUAUAUAAUUAAAUGUACAAUAUAAUUAUAACCAUUUUUCUUAAUAUGCAAAUAUAUUAACAAACACAAGAAACCAGUCAUAGGUUCGUAGCACAUCAACAUAAAUAUAAAUAAUAUUGACGAUUAAAAUAGUGAUGAUUAGUCAAUUACAUGCACAAUAUAUCUCAAAAAGAGCACCAUCAGUAUUAUACUAUAUCCAAAAGGAACAUUGUUAGUGCUAUACUAUAUCGAUUCGAAAAAGAAGCACUAUAUCCAAAAAAUAAAAUUAAAAUUUAAUCUUCGGAUACUCUCCUGAUACAUAUCGGAAAGUAUCGGAUAAUUAUUUUUUUUUAAAAUAAAAUUUAAUCUUUAGAUACUCUUUUAAUACGUAUCGAAAAUUUAAUCUUUAGAUACUCUUUUAAUAUGUAUUGUCCAUACUAACUAAGUUAAGCUCACGAUGACUUCCUUCCGUUUUCUAAUUGAAUGAAGAUGAUUUUUGUCAAAAUAAAAUAAAAUUUAAUACUCCUUCAAAUGUGUGGGCAUGGGUUUUAAUGAUCACUUAUAACAUAGGUAAAUAGGACCACCAUACCAUAUCACAUGAUUCUUGUAUUUUUUUUUUUCUCUAAUCCAACAUUUAUUUUCACAAUAAUCGAAUGCAACGUUAAUCCUAUUAGUGAUUACUCCUAAUUUUCUUUGGGGUUCGGUCAUUAUAAGGUUUUAAAUUAAAAUAUAAAUCAUAAAUUUGAGAAGUGAUUGAGUUAGAUUCACUUUUAAUUCUAUCACUAUGCAAAUAACCAUUUUACUCUCUAAUGUUUUCACAACAUCGUAUCUCAACUUGUGCACUCUCUAAUGUUUUGCUGUGGGGCCUCACAAUCAAUACCCAAAUAUUUUACUCACCAGCUCUCUUUCGUGUCCACUCUUUUCUUUUUCAUAUCUAUAUAUAUGUGCAUAGGCGAUCCAAUAUUUAAUCUCCACACUUGAAGCCUCUUCCACACAAAACACCAUUACUCACAACAUUAUAAGUGUCGAAAAAACCAGUUAGAACUUGAUGCUUUUUAUGAUUUUAAAGUAGGAGUAAAAUGUUUGUUAGAGUGGAGGUGUCGAAUGUUCAAAAAUGUUUUACACUAAGAAGUUAGACUCUAAUUCUCGAUGUAGAAUAUUGAUGGAUCUUUCGACACUCCAGACUCUAACAAAUCUUUUACUCCCCACUUUUGAAUCAUAGGUAGUAUUUCUCAUCCUAUUUAUGUGUUAGCACAGCAACAACAUAAAUGGGGAGUAAAAGAUAAGUAUUUCCUCAUUUAUGUGGGGGUGUCGUCACUUUUGAAAAAUACUUAUCUUUGUUGUUGUAAUCCAUUUAUGUGGCAGCACAGCAACAACAAAACAGACGACACUUCCCACAUAAAUGGAUUACAACAACAAAGAUAAGUAUUUUUCUUCCCCCUUUUCUCUCUUUUUUUCCAAUCCUCUGCUAAACUUUGUGUGAAAUGCAAAAUAAAACAUUGAUAAAACUAAAAGGCUGAUUCAAACUAAAAGAAUAUUUGGAUGAGGUUUUAUUAGCUAUGUAUUAAUUUGAAAAGCAUUAUUUGGUUUCUACUUUUUCCUACACUCUCUUUUAAAAUUUGAAAAAACCGUUAUAGCAAUGAGGGGAUAUCCAUGAUUGCAUGGGUAAUACAAUUCUAAACCGUUUAUUUAUUUCAUUUUUUUUAUUAUAAGAACAUACGUGUUUACUUCAAUUAAUUUUAUAAAUAGUGACUUUGAUGUGUAAAAUAUGCUUUUGAUUAAUUUUUGUCUGAUUUGUGUUAAUUUUGGUCGACAAUGUUGUUGCAAGUGUCCUCUUUUGAUCUUUUGUUGUUGCAGAGGAUAAAGAUCUCAUAUUUUCUUCCAUAAUGACAUAAUUAUUGUCAUUAGAGUAAAGUUGUGUUAGUUUAACUUAUUUCAGCACAUCAAAUAUAUGUUUUUGUGCAACAAUGAUGGUAAAGUUAAGACUUUUGUUGAUGGUAAAUCCCCUCUCUUCUUUCUUCAAGCAAUAUGAGCUUUUUGGUGGAGCUGUGAUUAUUUAAGUUUAAGGAUGUAGUCCUAGGAUUUACAGUGUGUUUGGUUGAGGUGAAAAAGAGAAGAGAGAAGUUGGUGAGAGAAGGGAAUGUAUAACUGGGAAAUGGUGUGGAUGUGUGUUACCCUCGGUGUGAAUUGUGUUGAAACAAUGAAUUGAUGAAUUUCUUGUAUAAAAAAUUAAGUGUAUUUUAGUAUUUUCAAAAAUAAUCAACUCUUAUGCUAAACUAUAAAUCAAAUCUCCUCUAUUUUUCACUUUUUUUCUCUCUUACUAACUUUUCUCUCACCUAUUUCUUUCUUCACAAUUUCCUUUCUAAACCAAACACACCAAUGUCAAAGUUUACACAUUGUCGUUGAAGAGAAAUUUGAAGUCACAUAUUCAAUUGCUAUGCCUGUUACUCAGAAUUAUGUGGAAUGCACUUUUAUUGAGAGUGGUUUUCCUAAAAGAUGUGCUAACAUUUUGAAGUGACACACGUUUCAGACAAGUGUAUUAAUUUAAUCACUUUCUUUUUUCCAAUCAAUCACUUUUUUUUUAUUAAAUACUUGCGAUUUCUAGGGAUUGUAAAAUACCCUUAUAAAAAGAAAAAAGCAUAAAAAAGAUAGUAAGUACUACAUGCAUGAUUGAAAACGAGAUAAAAUGCGACAAACGAAGCACAAACAGAAUGCAUGCAUGAAUGUAAAAACCAAUUUCAACCAAAAUUUAUUGUUUCCUUAUGAACCAAUUCAUUACCGCUUCUUCUCAAUUGAAUGAAGAUGCUUUUUUUCUUGUCAAAAAAUAAUAAUCUUUCAAAUGUGUAGGCUAGGGUUUAUUGAUGACAUAGGAAAAUAGGACCACCAUAGCUAAAAAUGUAUGGCACAUAUGCCUAACUAGCAAAUUUAAAUUCAGUUUGGAACACGAUGUAUUUCAAAUUUAAAAUCAAACAAUUCAUUUGCAGAAUAGGUAAUCUAGAAAUAAUAAGUUCCUUUUUAACUACCAUGAACCACCACAAAGGUGAACCAUUACUCAUAGAUAUACAAUCAUAGAAGUAGCUUUCCCCUUGGCAACCAAUGAUUUUGUAUACUUUGUGAUCCAUUCAACAUAUCCAAACCAUCAUUGCAAUCGAAGCAACCAACCGUAGUUGGUCAUUUUUUUUAAGUUUUAGUACUCAUUGUAUUUGUCGUCGUGUUCAAUUUCUCUCCUUUUCUGAACUUCUAUUAAUAAUAUACAAGAUCAAUCAAAAAUAUCUCUUGUCCUUGCUCUGAGAAGAUACCAGUGAACAAGAGGUUAGGUUUUGGUCAUGUGACCUUUUCCAAAAGUUAUUCCUAUGCUCGCUCAAUGCCAAACCAUUCAAGUAUAAAGCAUGUGAGGACCACAUUCAUUAAAAAAAGGAUAAAGCUUGAUGAAGGGGUUUAUGACAUCAAUGACACAUCUGCUUAUCUUCUAACCAGCUGGUGUUCAUUGAUGUCUUAUAAUCAAUUCUUGAUGAAAAAAACCAAAUAUGUUUGCAAGGGACAAAAACAUGAUCAUGAGUUUUGAUGGAAAAAAAAUAAAAUAAUUAGAGGUUUGUUAGAGUCUGGAGUGUCGAAUGUUCCACACUGAGAAGUGGUGCUUAGCUGAUGAGAUAUUUUCAGUCCUUUGCAGGAAAACUAUCCAACCUGGAAGGUUUAUUUUCUCUCUUUCUUUCUUUCUUCCAAAUAAAGAUUUUCCAUCUCUUUUGAAUGCUGGGUACAUUAGAUGCUCUUUUUUUUUAAAUUUUACAAGAUAAGGCAAUUGAAUUUAAGAUCAUUGAUUGUUUUAAAGCUUGGCGGAGAUCGAAAAGAUCUACGAGAUUGCAAUAUAUGGUUCAGAUGAAGAGAAGAUUUCUGCCGCUACCAUUCUGGGAUGGAGGAAUGCACAGGUAAUCCUAACACUUUAGCUACAGAGAAAAUACAACUGUUUUCUUGCUUAGUUCUAUUAAUACAACUUUAAUUUUUAAUUAUAAUUUCUAUAACACAAAACUCAUUCCUAAAAAAACAAGCUUUGUAAUUUAACUUCAUAAUAUAUUGCGAAUUAUCGUAGCUGACUUUCUUUUAUUUAUUUUAUUUUUUGACAAAACUAUACAAUCAAUUCUAAACUUGAGUUAUAAUAACAUAAGACAAACUUUUUAAUUUAGCUUACUAAUUACUAAUAUAUUUUGAUCAAUUCUAAUUUUAACUAUAAUAACAUUAAAAGAAAAUUUAUUUAAUUUUACUAUAGUGUAUUGGAAAUUGAUUAUAUUAUUUAUAUUUAGAAUUAGAAUUUGAAGAGUAAACUUCAGAAAUUAUGUUAGUUUGUGUAAUAAUUUUAAAAAAAAUUCGGUGUUGAGUUUGUUUUGGAAUUUUUAGAGACCAGAGCAUACGGUUCAAUCCAGUUUAAUACCUAUACAAUCUUAUUAUCCGGUUCAGUUAUUCGGAGUUCGACCAGCAAACCUGUGACCUUGUUGGGUCGAUGUAUGGUCCUGCUUGUAAAACACUUACUAAAACUAAUAAAAUAAGCUUUAUUAGUUUAGGUUCGUGAUAGCAUGUCUCGCGAGAAAUAGCACUACUCAUAUUAAAUGGAGAAUAGAGACAAGGUUCUGUUAAUAGGACGGAUUUAAUCGCUCACAAUCAGCUGUUGAUUGCAGAAAACAUAAUACUUAAGGUAAGAAUGUCACAACUUGAGCCACAAUUACAAGAAAUGAAGAAAUUUGAGUCCAUAAAAACUUUCAAGCAAACCUACGGAUAACAAUCAAUAGAAUAUAAAUGAGACACACUUGUGAUAUUUUGUUGAUAGAGAGAUAGGCAUUUUUUGAAUGAUUGUACUAUAUUUAGGCGAGUUUGAAGAUUAGACAAUUUUACAUGAUAUGGUAUAGUGGUAAACAAUCUUUUAUCUUUAUUAAACUCAAGUGGCUUCUCCAUUAUUUAGUUUGUUUGUAUUUUUUUUUCUGUCUCUCUCUCUUUGGGCAUGGGAAAUGUUCCUUCUGUACUUGUAAACGCUACUAGUCCAAUGGUUUCACAGGAUAAUGGAAUCAAUUGAUAAUGUUCUUCAGCUUUCGCAAGAAUACAGCCACAAUGUGUGUGAACCGGGAGUUGCUCUUGUUGAAUUUGUCUUCUCAAUUUUAAGGCAGUUACUUGAAGCAACUUUGGAUGAUGAAGGGUUAUUAGAUCAUCUUGCAAGAUGGCUAAGCAUAUCACAUGAUAUGGAUAUCGAUGAGCAUGUAAGAAUCAAUGAAAUGACAACCGAGCAGAAGGAGGUGAUGCGGAGGAAAAACACAACUCUAGCUAUUGAGAUCAUUGUGAAUUUUCUUCAAAAUAAAAUGACAUCAAGGCUUCUUUCCUUAGUUCAUCGAAACAUGUAAGAACCUAAUUCUGAUAUACUUGGCAUCAAUGAUGUUAACUGUCUAAAUACUUAAUUGAGCCAAUCUUAAUGAAGAAUGUUAUCUUUUGUAGGCCAUCAUACUGGAGAUCAUUCAAACAUCAAAUGCAGCUAAUUGCAUCAAAAUCUUCAAUUUUGAAGAAUUUGACACAUAUUAAUGCAGACACCCUUUUAUCUGCGAUGGAAAAUAUCCACGGGGUUGUAUCAUGCAAUGCAAAAUCAGUCAUACCUGCUGGUUCUCAAGUAGCUUUUGAUGGAGCGCUUCCAAUUGAUCUUAUACUUGAAGAUGCUUUGGACGGAGGGCAUGUAGCAACUUUCAGCGCAAUUGAAAUGAUUACUGGUAUGAAUGUAUGAUUGAUUUUUUUAUUUAUUUUAAAUCAUAAUGUUGGGUAAGUUUAUUCUGACAUGGCCAAACAUACUGGUAGACUAUGCACUGAAGUAGUAGUUUGAACGAUACUUAUCCUUGUGGUUUGAGUUUAGGAUUAACACUAGCUUUGAUGCUCACCCGAAAUGACCUGAACUUUAAUUUCACUUAUUUAAUUUCUCGCCUUCCUUUUAUUCUAGUUUUUGUUUCAUUGUUUUUCUUUCUUACUUCUGAAUCUAUAGGUUCAGAUGUUUUUAUUCUUACCUGGAUUAUCCUUUGAACGCCCUUUCAGACAUUAAUAAUACAUGUAGAUUCUAUAUGUUCACUAUACAGACAUAGUUUACUAAACUUUCUGAUUUGAGUCAAACGGGGAGUUAAAGAAUUUGCGUUUCUGAUUAAUAUGUUUCCUUUUUAUCGGUAUGUUUUAACUGAGGUAGGGCUAGGAUCAAUUAUUGGAGUAAAUGAAUGUUAAUAUAAUAAAAGUGAUCUGUGGAUAAAGAAAAAUAUGGCGGGGCUAAUAAACUGUUCACAAAUUUUUAGAAUGAAGGGUAGUAAAUUUUUUAUUUUUUUUUUCCUUCUGAUUUCAUAUCAUAACUCUAUUUCGUAAAAGCCUGUUCAUGUUUGUUUCAAGCCUCUUAGGUGUACAAGUGACACUGUCGGUUUUUUUCUCUUGCAGUUGGCAACUUACGACAUCUAAUUGUGGAGGCAUGUAUUGCCAGAAAUCUUCUAGACACAUCGGCUUAUUAUUGGCCUGGCUAUGUGAAUGCCUGCAGCAAUCAAAUUCCUGCCAGCAUUUCUAACCAGGUGGAUGGCUGGUCUUCAUUGAUGAAGGGGUCAAAGUUAACACCUACAUUAGCUGAUUUCUUAGCAGCAACUCCUGCUUCCAGGUAGGCUCCAUUGAUGACUCGUAUCAUUCCUAUGCUCUAUACCCUGUCACUUGCCUCUUAAAAAUGGUUUUAGAAGGGAAUGAUUUGUGGAAGGUGGUUGGUUAAAGAAACUAUCCAACCUGGAAGGUUUCUUUUCUCUCUUUCUUUCUUUCUUCCAAAUAAAGAUUUUCCAUCUCUUUUGAAUGCUGGGUACAUUAGAUGCUCUUUUUUUAAAUUUUACAAGAUAAGGCAACUGAAUUUAAGAUCAUUGAUUGUUUUAAAGCUUAGCGGAGAUCGAAAAGAUCUACGAGAUUGCAAUAUAUGGUUCAGAUGAAGAGAAGAUUUCUGCCGCUACUAUUAUGUGCGGUGCAUCUCUAGCACGUGGAUGGAAUGCACAGGUAAUCACGUGGACGGAUCCAAAAAUUUUGAAUAGUGGGGGCAUGACCAAAAAUGUAUAAAUACAAGCGAUAAAAUGACAAUAUUGAUCAUUUUUACUAAGUAAAAAGUUGGAGAUUACAAAAACUGUACCAUAGAAUAGUGUUUUGCAUUUGUUUUUAUUAUAUUUAAAAGAGUUGUAAGAUUUUUAUUUUAGUUUCAAUACUAUUAAAUACUCUAUGUAUGUUGCCAGACACUUUAAAAUUGAGACAAAUAGAAGGGAGUAAUAUUUAAGUUUUUAUUUUGUAUUUUGUGUUGGGGUGUAUGUGUGGAUAAGUUGAUUUUUAUUACUACUAGUAACAUACCCGUGCAGCACGGGUUCAGUAAACUUUUGUUAUUUGUAAAAAAUCAUUAAAUCAUUAAAUAUUUAUAAGAGUUUUGAUGUAAUUUAAUUAUUAGUUUAUGUAAGUAAUUUGUAUGUGUUUUUAAAUUAUUUGUGUAUUAUAUGUUUGAUGCUAUAAUAAAGUAAAAUUGUAAUCUCCGUGAACUUAGCUCAGUUGGUAGGGAUAUCGCAUUUUAUAUGCAGAGGUCGGGGUUCGAACCCUGGAUACUCCACUUCUCCACAAUUAUAUGCAAGGUCCAGAGUUCAAACCCCGGUCAUCAAAAAAAAUCUGUGAAUAAGGCCCCGUUUGAAUUGGCUUAUUUUGAGUUUAUGUUGGCUUAUCUACUCCCAUAAGCCUUUUUAAAGGUGUUUGGCUAAAUAAAUAAAAAUAGCUUAUCAUAGUUUCAUAAAUUGCUUAUGCCAUAUUUUAAUAAGCCAAAAUUUUCACAAAAUCAAUUGGUUUGGUCAAAAUUUUAAUAAGCCUUCUGUGAAAACAAACACAAUUUGGUUUGGUCUCCUCACAAAAUCACCAAGUUUUGGAGCUGGUGACAACGACUCUAGAUGGUGUCACAGUGUAAAAGAAAGAGUUUUCACCAUGGGAAUUUAGAAGAGAAAGAAUGGAGCAAAGUAUUUUAGUUAGAGCUGUAAAAGUUACAUUAGUUAGAAGUUAGUUGGUCUAAUUGGCUAUAUAAGCCUUAAUAUAAUCAUUUCAUUGAUGUAACAAUUCUUUCAUACUCAAUAUUAUUUUCCAUUUCGCUUUUCUAUGUACUCAUUCACUUUCCAAUUCUCUCAUAAUUAUUCCGUUAUUUUCUUGAGAAAAUUUUCAUCGAUUCCUUUCUUGAGGUUUCAGCAUACCCC
rnacentral:lncRNA from 1 species